AGUGUUUGACAUUAUGUACUAGAAUACAAUACCAUGUUCCUUUAGAAAUUUUGCUAAUGGUCCUAGCUAUCGUCCUAUCUUUAUAUGUUUAUCAUAGUAUUCAGAUCUAACUAGUUCAAUCACUACUCCUGAUUGUCAUCUAUUUUGAAUUUUUUAAAGGCCAUAAAAAUAUCAGUCUUCUCAAGCAAAAGAUAUAGAU
rnacentral:lncRNA from 1 species